CAAAGGCUUUAAGUUAAUCUUAAACUAAUAGCCUUCAAAGCUAUAAAUAUUAGUUCUAAUCUUUUAAGCCUUA
rnacentral:tRNA from 1 species